GACGGGACCGCACAAGCGGUGGAUGAUGUGGUUUAAUUCGAUGCAACGCGAAAACCUUACCCACCUUUGACAUGUACGGAAUCCUUAGAGAUAAAGGAGUGCUCGAAAGAGAGCCGUAACACAGGUGCUGCAUGGCUGUCGUCAGCUCGUGUCGUGAGAUGUUGGGUUAAGUCCCGCAACGAGCGCAACCCUUGUCAUUAGUUGCUACAUUCAGUUGGGCACUCUAAUGAGACUGCCGGUGACAAACCGGAGGAAGGUGGGGAUGACGUCAAGUCCUCAUGGCCCUUAUAGGUGGGGCUACACACGUCAUACAAUGGAUGGUACAAAGGGUCGCCAACCCGCGAGGGGGAGCCAAUCCCAUAAAGCCAUUCGUAGUCCGGAUCGCAGUCUGCAACUCGACUGCGUGAAGUCGGAAUCGCUAGUAAUCGUGGAUCAGCAUGUCACGGUGAAUACGUUCCCGGGUCUU
rnacentral:rRNA from 1 species